rnacentral:rRNA from 1 species
AUUGAACGCUGGCGGCAGGCCUAACACAUGCAAGUCGAACGGUAGCACAGAGGAGCUUGCUCCUCGGGUGACGAGUGACGGACGGGUGAGUAAUGGCUGGGGAUCUGCCCGAUAGAGGGGGAUAACCACUGGAAACGGUGGCUAAUACCGCACAACGUCGCCAGACCAAAGUGGGGGACCUUCAGGCCUCUCCAUUUCGGCUGGACCCAGAUGGGAUUAGCUAGUAGGCGGGGUAACGGCCAACCUAGGCGACGAUCCCUAGCUGGUCUGAGAGGAUGACCAGCCACACUGGAACUGAGACACGGUCCAGACUCCUACGGGAGGCAGCAGUGGGGAAUAUUGCACAAUGGGCGCAAGCCUGAUGCAGCCAUGCCGCGUGUAUGAAGAAGGCCUUCGGGUUGUAAAGUACUUUCAGCGGGGAGGAAGGCGAUGUGGUUAAUAACCGCGUCGAUUGACGUUACCCGCAGAAGAAGCACCGGCUAACUCCGUGCCAGCAGCCGCCGUAA